UACGUAGGUGGCGAGCGUUGUCCGGAUUUACUGGGCGUAAAGAGCGCGCAGGCGGUCGUCCAAGUCGCGUGUGAAAGCCCCCGGCUCAACUGGGGAGGGUCACGCGAUACUGAUCGACUCGAAGGCAGGAGAGGGUAGUGGAAUUCCCGGUGUAGUGGUGAAAUGCGUAGAUAUCGAGAGGAACACCUGCGGCGAAGGCGGGUUGCUGGGCUGAUACUGACGCUGAGGCGCGAAAGCCAGGGGAGCGAACGGG
rnacentral:rRNA from 1 species